GGGGAAUCUUCCGCAAUGGGCGAAAGCCUGACGCAGCAACGCCGCGUGGGUGAUGAAGGCCUUCGGGUCGUAAAACUCUGUCUUGUGGGACGAAAUGCAUUGUUUUUAAUAGAGACGAUACUUGACGGUACCGCAGGAGGAAGCCCCGGCCAACUCCGUGCCAGCAGCCGCGGUAAUACGGGGGGGGCAAGCGUUAUUCGGAAUUACUGGGCGUAAAGCGCGUGUAGGCGGUCAGGUAUGUCAGGUGUGAAAUCCCUUGGCUUAACCAAGGAACUGCGCUUGAAACUGCUUGGCUUGAGUACNGGAGAGGAGAGUGGAAUUCCCAGUGUAGCGGUGAAAUGCGUAGAUAUUGGGAGGAACACCGGUGGCGAAGGCGGCUUUCUGGACCGUUACUGACGCUGAGACGCGAAAGCUAGGGGAGCAAAAGGGAUUAGAUACCCCUGUAGUC
rnacentral:rRNA from 1 species